GGCUGACGUCUCAUGCAAUGAAUGGAUACAACAAUACUAACACAGUAACCACAACACAUACUCAUAUGGCUAGUUUUGAGAUUGUCGUUGUGCAAAAAGCAAAGUGUUGAUGGUUUAUUAUUCGUUAACCUACUCCAAACCAUGAACAGAGCCUAUUCACACAUAUGGUCGUGUUCGUUAUAUUUGUCGUUAAGGAACCAUUUAAUGAUACAUUAUUAAGUUUAAUCUGUGUACUGUUUUGUUGUUUUUUAAUCUUAAUUUACAUUACAUACGUUUUAUCUGUUGUCAUUAUCUUCAAAAAUACAUGUUUGACCAAAGUUUGAAAAUGCAGCAUAUGUUUAAAUGUGUAUAUAUAUGUGUAUAUAUGACUGCAUGUGAUUGUUCACUCUUUUUUUUGUAUGAAAUAAUAGCAUCAAACAAAAGUAUUGACAAACUUUUGAUUGUUUGAGUCUGCCAUGAAUUUGUUUUCUGAAUAUAUUUUAUGUCUUGAGAUAGAAAACUAAACAUCAUGGUACUUUGUUGAUUUCUAAGGAAAUGCUUUAUCAAUGGAUUUUAACGAAAGAAUAUAAAAUAUAAAAUUAAAUUACAAAUCAAUACUUAUCAUUAUUGUGUAGUUUACAUCCCUUCGUAAAUUUUACGGACGCCAUCACGAGUUGGUUGACCGUUAUGGAAUAACUGUUUCACAGAUGAUAUCGGAUAUGUUCCUUAUGUCGUAACUACAAUACCCUUCCCUUUUCACGAAUGUGACCUACCGAAUUAGACUAUUUACCGGAUUUGUAAUAACAUAAGCAACACGACGGGUGCCACAUGUGGAGCAGGAUCUGCUUACCCUUCCGGAGCACCUGAGAUCACCCCCAGUUUUUGGUGGGGUUCGUAUUGAUUAGUCUUUAGUUUUCUAUGUUGUGUCAUCAGUACCAUUAUUUGUCUGUUUGUCUAUUUAUUUUUGGCCAUGGCGUUGUCAGUUUGUUUUCGAUCUAUGAGUUUGACUGUCCCUCUGGUAUCUUUCGUCCCUCUUUUACAUCUUUUCUCUAAACAUGCAUUUUAUAUUUAGAUCCCACGCAUUAUCAUGGGAAACAUACACACACUUAUUAACACUUAAAGCUAUGUCUACACAAGAAAGGAUUUGCGCCUAAAUAAUUCCACACUGACAAUUCGGUAUGUUUGUUUUUUUAUUUAAACUGUAAAAAGAUACACUCGAUUAAAAUCCAUUGAUUCGCUUCAACAAGUUUCAUUUUGUUUUCAUGUCUUUAUGCUUAAAUUAUUUGUUAGUAUGAAAUAUUUGAUGUGUUCAUUAAUUAAUGUGUAUAUUUCUUGAUCGUUGAUCUGAUAAUCCGUAGGACAUUUAUGGAAAUCAAAUUAAAUGCACAUUAUCUUUACAUUGUUAUAAAUGACCUCAGUUUGUUCAAUGAAUGAGACUAUAGAAAUGAGUAAAAGGUUUGCUGACCAUUAAACUGAUAAUAACUAGGGUGUGUUUUUAAUGACAGCGGUUACACAAAUAAUCAUAUGUAAUUGUAUACCUAGUCCUUCUAAAUGAAAUUUUAGAAUGGUUUAACCACACAAAGAAUUUGAUACAGAGACGUUUUAGUGAUUAGUUUGCCGUGAUAUACCAUUUUGAAGUUUUUCAAAGCAAAGAGUUUUUCCACAAUAAGUGUGUAUGAUCGACCAAGUUUAAAGAAAAGAGCUAUUCUGACAAUGAGAUCUCAGCAAAGAUCUAGACUUUGAUUUGGGAACGUAAGGAGACUUCUAUCAGAAGUGCAUAUAAUCUGCCAUAGAUUUGGAAUCUUGCACUAGAAUUACGUCAGAUUGGACAUCAAUUUGAGGAACAGACGUUGAUAUGAGUCUUAAAUAUUGCAUUUAUGAGAGCUCAAUUUGAAUUGUUUAAAAGAGCCAAGAACUGUAUUUUCUGACAAGUGUAAUUUCACGGUGAAUCAAAUUUGCAAGAAAUAGCCAAGAACUGUAUUUUCUGACAAGUGUAAUUUCACGGUGAAUCAAAUUUGCAAGAAAUAGCCAAGAACUGUAUUUUCUGACAAGUGUAAUUUCACGGUGAAUCAAAUUUGCAAGAAAUGUAAGUAUAUAAAAAGACAUAAAUGCGUGUUUUUAACGUUUGUUUUCAAGUAUGAUGCAAUUUACACGACUGAAUUAUUUUAACCGG